AGAGUUUGAUCCUGGCUCAGGACGAACGCUGGCGGCAUGCCAAAUACAUGCAAGUCGAGCGCAGGAAGCAAAUUGAUUCCUUCGGGAUGAAGUUUGUGGAAUGAGCGGCGGAUGGGUGAGUAACACGUGGGCAACCUGCCUGUAAGAUCGGGAUAACUCCGGGAAACCGGUGCUAAUACUGAAUAAUUCUAAUCAUCACAUGGUGAAUAGAUAAAAGGCGGCUUUCAUUAGCUGUCACUUACAGAUGGGCCCGUGGCGCAUUAGCUAAGUUGGUGGGAUAAUGGCCUACCAAGGCAACGAUGCGUAGCCGACCUGAGAGGGUGAUCGGCCACACUGGGACUGAGACACGGCCCAGACUCCUACGGGAGGCAGCAGUAGGGAAUCUUCCGCAAUGGACGAAAGUCUGACGGAGCAAUGCCGCGUGAGUGAUGAAGGUUUUCGGAUCGUAAAACUCUGUUGUUAGGGAAGAACAAGUAUUGUUCUAACAGGACAGUACCUGACGGUACCUACCAGAAG
rnacentral:rRNA from 1 species